UUAUCCUCUGAACCCUGGGGUGAUGUGGUCAGUGGAGGGAAACAGGUCCGAGCCUCCAGGUACCAGAUCUACUGCCUUUUCCCCACGGGACUGCUUUUAUUUGGCAACAUCCUGUUUCAGCCUUUGGGUGCUUUUAUUACCUCUCUUGAUAGUGAGUACUUUCCUGUGAUUUCAUUUUAUUAAGGGUUAGACCUUCGUUUUAUAGCAUGACAUACUUUAACGUUGCCCCUCUUACUUUAUUCAUUUUUAACUUCACAAGUAAUUCAUGAAUAUAUUCUUAGUUUAAAAAUUAAAACGAUAAAUUCUCUGAUUGCACAGGUGGGGAAAACUGAGGCGUCAAAAGUUAUCUGAUCGGGCGUGCUUGCCUUGAGUGGUUGGGGUCGAGGACGCUCUCCAGGGCCCCAGAAGCUCCGGACCUUUGUGUAGCCCUCUGCCUGAUGCAUGAAGGCAGUUGUCUCUCUUAAGUUUCAAACUCAGGUCCAGAAGCCAUAAUUUCACCCAGCCUGAGAUGAGUCAGGGAAGUUACUUGUUUGCAGUCGGUAGGGAAUUAAUGGAUAGAUUUUAUGUUUCAGCAGCUCCAUGUUUUGCUGGCCCUGAUCCUUGGAUGGAAGUAGGGCAGGAAUGAGGUGAGAGGGCAGGUGGUUUCAGGGCCCUGAUAAAGGGUGGAGGGAUAAGAGAUAGGAGAGAAGGGAGCUGGCACCUCGUGCCCUUUCUGAGAUCUUCAAAGCCAUGCAUGUUUAUAGAACAGGCCCUAACCUUCUCUGGGCAGCCCUGGGCUGGGCUGGGCUGGGCUGGGCUGGAAGUGGGGAGGUAGUUACUAUCCAAAAUAGAAAGGUUUCAGUCCUGUCACAUCCAUGCGGGGGUUCUGUGAGCCUUGCUGCCCUGCACGGCACCGUAGGUGCUUCUCUGGUGGAUGAGAUCAGGUUUGCUUAUCCUCUGAACGCUGUGGCGAGGUGGUCAGUGGAGGGAAAGCGGUCCAGGGCUCCAAUUACUAUCUUCUCUCCCAGGCCAGAGAUUUUCCCAGAAUGUUUCACUGCCUUGGUCCUCUUCUAGCAUGACUGAUGCUUCUGACUUUGCUAGCAGUACUAGUAGAUAUUGGCACAUCAGCUUUGGAAAGGUUGUACCAUUUGUACCCCCACUGGCAGUAUAUCAAAAUACCUAUUUCCCCAAACCAUCACCAGCACAGAGUUUUGCUCUUCUUUACUUUUAAUUAGCAGUAUUUUUGUUCUGUUUUAUUUUCUGUGAAUGCCUUCCUCACACCGUCGAGUCCCCUGUCCAGACAAUUCUUCCAUUUGAAGGCAGGGAGCGGAUGGUUUACUCUUGAGCUCCUGCCGCAGGCAGGGCCCUGGGACGGGUGCUAGAGAUAAAGUGAUGCCAGUGUCUGCCAUGGUGAAGCCCUCAGUGAAAAAACAAAAUACACACGGUAACUCUUUUAUACAUGUUACUAAUAAUUACCAUCAGGCUCAGGGCAGGAACCGCUCAGAGAACAAGGGUCCUCCUUUACCACGUCAGUCUGGAGGCAUUUGCGGUGCUGGGCUUUUGGCUGGGCCUUUGGAGACAACUGGGGAUUUAGAAAAUUUGGUUGGUACCGCUCUGGCUGGUAGAGUACCAGGAUAUGCCUUCUGGUGGGGCCCUGACUCCACGGAAUCACAUCGGUCCUGCUCAUCCCCCAUGGAUCCUGGGGACCCAGCCUGAGGAUAGCAGUGUCCUGGUUCCUUUGUAGCAUAACCAGACCUGGCGGCCUGCCCCCGUCACCUGCUAGCAGAUGGCGGAGCCGGGGGAGAAAUCAUUGCCAUGUAGAUGAAUUUCAAGUAGGAAUUAAGCCGAAAUCUGUAAUCAUGACAUCUAAGGGGGAAAAAUCCCUUCCUCCGAUUCCACAUUGAGGACUGGGUGGGGCAGUGGCCUGCGUUUGCUGAAAGUGUUUCUUUAUUUGUGGGCUGUGUUUUCAGUGCCUACUGGUUGCUCCAGAUUUGAGGCAUGGUGAAAACUCCUGUCACAAAGACAGUGCUUUUUCGAUCAGAAACCCCGUGUUGUUUGUAGGUGCUGAGGAAGUAAUAUUGAGCAAUGAAAGGUUUCUCCCUUCCUCUGAAAAGAGAACCAGAAGCCCAUCUUUCUGAUGUAAAAAUCUCAGAGUUUGUUUCAUCUUUCGCGUUGGGUAUUUAACCAGAGCACCUGCAGGAAACAACUAUUUUUCACUAUUAACAAAAAUGCUUUAAAAAGUAUUCUCAUUCCUUCUCUGGGCUAAUAACAGAAACAAUUUAAUGUUUAAGUGAUUUACAUUUUAGGGUUAAAUAGAAAACAAAUCAUUUGUAUACAUAUAUUCAAAUCAGGGCGUUGCAUGCACGAUGCCACAAGGAUUUUCUGAGCUUGAGUUCAGCUUGCGUAUUCUUCCCAUUUUAAGUUGUGACUUUCGUAUUUUGGACCAUUUAAGCGUUUGUUUCUGUUUUCAAGAAUAGGAUGUUUUCAUAGGCCAGCAUUUACUCCUGGUGAUUCUGUUUUAUAUUUCCUUUAACACAAAAGACAUCUUCUUGAGUUAUCCAGACUCAGGAUUUAAUUUUGUUAGUUUUCUGUGUAGUUGACCACUUCUCCUGGUUCUGCCACUUACUGUUAUUUAUGUGUCUGUACAUAUAGGUGUGUAUCUCCAAGAGAUGCCCAGUCUGCUUGGACAGUGGUGCUGAGAGCCUGAGGGGCUCCUGUAGGGACCUCGUUCCCCUGCUGCAUUUCUGUCUGGUGACCCACCCCGUUUCUCACCCUCAAAAUUUUUGUUGGCUUCCUAAAUGUAAAACAAGCCCAGUCCAAGGUGUGAAAUGGCAUUUGAAGUUUGAGAAACGGUGCUUCUGUGUCCACUUCUUUCUUCCACCCUUCUUUUGCCCACCCAAGUCCUACCCUCCCUCAGACCUUGGCCCAGCUCCUUUUCUGAGAAGGACACUCCCAGUGACCUCCAACCUCAGGAAUUCUUCCCUUUUUCCUAUAAUACUUAUAGUUUGCACUCUUUGUCGGGCCCUGAAUUGUGAGUGCUCUGUGACAGACCCUGCAGGCCGUCAAAUGGCCGUCUGACCUCCGUCUGAUGGCCUAGCUCCUCAGCUGGCCUCAGGCCACUGCGGGCAGUGGAUUUCUGCCGCGUUGGACUUCCUGGGCUCCCCAGCACUCGGCCUGGAUCUGGUUCUGCAGAUGCUGACACACUCAGAGCCGAGUGCAUUUAAGGUCCACUCCCAAGUGAGAAGCCACGUCUUCGGUCGUUUGUGGCUGACUUCAGGGUGUGAAAGAAGAGCAGUGUCAAGAAUGGUAUAUUGACCACCAGUGAUCUGUGAGGCCAGAGGUCUGUUAAUGCAGCGUAGCCUCACUGCCCUCCCCCCACUGUCAGGAAGCCUGGGCAGGCGCAGAUGUUCUGCCAUACACAGCUGGAGUGGCCUCCAGUUCAGAAUUCCCUCUUGCUAAGUUCCUGCAACCACGUGACUCUUCUGUGACUCUCUGGCUGACCUCUCAACGGUGCUUCAUCUGCCUUUGGUCUGCGUUGGAAGCCUGGUCCUACAAGGAAAGCACAGUCUAAGACACGGACAGUGGACGACCAAUUAAAAGAAGACUGGCCGCAGCCAGGGCAGCUCGAGGUUGGGAAGGUUGGCUGAGACAUCCUCUCGGAUCUCGGGAGCUUGUGGCCGGAUCAUGAAAGGCUGGGAGGACUUUCCAGGCACCGGGGCCGUGUUCUGACUCAUCAGGGAGACCUUGGUUACCUUGUCCUCCUCUGGAGGCUUCGUAGGCAGACCCAGCUCUGCCUUCCUGCCUACCUGGUGACCAUGUCAGCUCAGCUCUUAGGACUCUGAGGCCCCUCCUGUCCAUGACCUUCAAGUCACAGGGGCUAUUGGCCACAUUUCCCCUGGCACGAGGAAGAGAAUUGCUGGAAGCCACAUGCCUUGUCCUGUACACACAGGUGUAGGCAGGGAGGUUCACUGCAGGUCUGUUUGUAAUGCAAAACAUUGGAGCCAAACCCACAUAGCCGGCAGAAGGGCACCUGUCAGCGGUGACACACCUGUGUGAAAGAGACACUGCAGCAGUUCCAACAGGAGAGGAAGGCUUACAUGUGUGCACUGGAAAAGGUUGAUUGCUAAGCAAAAGAAGCAAGUUGUAGAAUAAUAUGCACAAUAUGAUCCCCUUUGUGUAAAAUUGCAUAUCAAUAAUGUAUUCCUGUGUGUACAUAAAUAAGUGUGUAAGUGUACAGAUAGGAGCUUGCAAGGACCGUAUCAGACUCCUGGGAAUGGUAAAGAGCAGUAGGAUAGGAGAAGAGGGUGGAAAGGGUGAGUUUCACUUUUUUCUCUAUUUAUUUUCCACAGUGGGAGUAUCUUCAUAGUAUCAUUUUGAAGGAAGAGAGGUAGGGAAGGAAGGUAAGCAGGUGGCCACACUUGGUGUCUGGAGUGGUGACAGGCAGAUUGCACUUGGGUGUCCAGGCUUGGCUGGAAUGGGUUCUGUGUUUGGUACCAAUGUUUCCCAUGGAUUCACAUGUGAACGUGUGGCCUCAGACACACUGCAUGCUUGUCAUCCUCCUGGGUCAGCGGGUGCAAAGCGUCUCUUUUAGUCAUCUUAAUCUUCAAAGGGAGAAGAAAGCCCAUGACACACCUCUCAACUGUGCACAUUUUAUUUUCAAUAUCAGUUAUGUUGUACUUCUACUUGAACGUUUCAGUUAAAUGAGUUUAUAUCCUCUUUUAGGAUUCACAGAUCCCCUAGUGAUACAGCUUGAAGCACUGGGCAGGGUUUCCUGGUCAGAUUGGUCGGUGUGGAUGAGUUCUGUUACUCUACUGGCAUUACAGAAACCACCACACUAUCAUAACUGCUGAUGAGGUCCAGGGCCUUUGAAAGCAAAUCGUUGUUCGACCUGGGAUCGUUCUCAGGCUGACAGUUGUUUCCAUCUCUCCGGUGAAGUCUCUGAGUAUCGGCGGCACCUCCUGGGCCAAAAGUUUGCAGCUUUCAUGUGUUGAGGCAAAUUUCUUUGAAGCCAACCCCAGACUUAAAUAGAAAUGACUCAAAUAGAAAUGAUUAUGGUAGGUAUCGAAAACUGUCUAGUAAUCGCUCUUUCUCGAAUCCAGCCGUGUCUGAGUUCCCCGUGUGUGGGCCGUCAAGCGCGAAGAAGGCGGCUCCCCUGGCUGCUGGCCUUCUGUGACAAAUGGAAUUCUGAAGCCAGAAUUCCAGCGCAGAUGAGCCAGAGGGGCUGAAACUGCCGAGGCCUGCGUUGGUUCCAGGCAGGAAAGCAGUGCUUCUUGUCUGUGAGCGAAAGAGACGCCCCUGUGCGAUCGCGUCCUGUGCAUGGGCGCCAAGCGCUGCUUCUGGAGGGGACUCUCCUAGCUCAGACCCCUCCCAGAGUCCUCAACGGGGAGUAUGCUAGUGGCAGGAUCUGCCAGGAUUUCCAAACCGAGGUCUCAGGAGAAGCAUGUGACACAUGGUCUCUCCCCUCUGCUCCAGCUGGAAUGGCAGUAUGCACUGACACACUGCGGCAGGAUUGCCCGUAAGUGCUGGAUGGUAGUUGGUCUGUUUAUACAACGUCCUCAUGCCCACGGACUGGGGGUUGGGGAAGACUUUGUGAAGAGGAGUGUUGAGGCAGCCUUGCAGGACUGGUAUGUCCGCUUCAGUGGGGAGGUGUGUCUCACGUAGGACCAGCCCUUCCGGGCUGGUCAGGAAGGGGGAAAUGAGGACACGUGUGGAUGUCGUCUGGUUGCGGAGUGGAGAGGGUGGUCAGCGUGGGGGGUGAGGGGGGUGCCACGUUCAGUUCUCCUUUUGGCUAAAUUGGGAGUUACUCCUUCAGAUUCAGCAAAUGUUAAUUGAGCACCUACCUUGUAGCAGGGAUUGGGGAUAAAAUGCAAAGAGGAGUACGCUGUGGCCCCACACUAAGAAGAGACAGGCAAGAAAUCCUUAAACGGUGCGGAGCUGCGAGUGCACGUCAGAGCUGAGGGGCCUGGGGCACCAUCCCCGCUGGGUCAGCCAGGCCUCGCCACAGAGCGGGCAGUGUGGACUGACCCCCCAGGGUAGGGGGGUCUGCUGGGGAGCGGAGGAUGGAUGCUGGGUGAGGGCGUGUGUGCAGGGCACCAGGUGUGCAGAGCACAGGGCUCAGCGGGGCAGGAGCGCCAGGAGCCAGGCUGGAGAGGCAGAGGCGCCGGGAAGAUUAGGAAAGGUUUAUUCGUCAAGCCGAGGAGUCUGAGCUUCGUCUUGUGUGAAGCAGAGACUCAGCAAAGACUUAUGAACAAAGUCAGGUGACUCCUUCACAUUUCCUUUCCAAGAUUCUGACUAGGGGAUGGGAUGGAGGGAGGGAGACAGUUACCAAGGAAACUGCUGGGAAGCUCUCACGGUAAUCCUGGUCAGAAACCGUGAGGGCUGGACUGGGACGCCAGGAAGUAGAGGAGUCAUCUGCACAAAGAGACACAGCAAGGUUAGAAAUCAAAGGAUGGGAAACAGGUCUCCAGCAAACAUGAACCAAAAGAAAGGUGGCAUGGUAAUAGUCUUAUCAGACAAAAUAGAAUUCUUGUGGGCACCUUAUAAAACCCUAAGCAGAUUUGCCAUUUUCAGGUGCUCCUGUAAUUCAUUGCCAGGUAGGCACUGCCAGUGGGCCCUGUGCCUGCCACACCUGCAAGGGAAGUGGCCCAACCUGACUCCAGGAGCUGGGGGUGAAGCAACAGUACCAGCUGGUGCCGUCGCCUUGCUGCAGCCGAGGCCCUGCCUUCCCCUCUCUGUGCUCUGACUCCUGGGAUGUUGCGGGACGUUUGUGUGUGUGCCAGGGCAGAGACUGGCAGAGGCCCCGGGUCUGGAGUGAGAAAUUGUUUCUCUCCUCUCAGCUAUCACCACGAGAGGAGCACAGGUGUGGUUCCAACAUCGGUGACUGAGCAGGGCAUCUGCAGCCGCUCUGCUCUCUCUUCUAAGGGAAAAUCACUGAAUCCGCGGUGAGGGCGGAGGCUGGCUGGCGGAGAGGACACGGGUGCGUCUGCAUUCGGGGUGGGAUGCCCCUCCUCUUGAGGGCCAACUGUGGACAGGCUUGGUGGCUUCCCAGACUUUGUCCCAACUAAAGGAGCGUCAUCCACAGAACUACUGCCAGAGCCAGAGAAAGGAGAGGCCACCCCGCGUUGUCCCAGUGGCUGCAGAGGGACGCUGCUGCGACUCGUGCGAUCACCUGAGGCGUCUCAGACAACAGAGUGGAGCCUGGGCUUCGGCUUGAGCGUUCCAGGCCUGGAAACUCUUCCUAACCAGAGUAGUUCAGAGGUCGUUGCCGACCGUACUGGCCUUCAGCGUCCUCAGGGCCUAGCGAUGGUGGAGCUGGUCCGACCUGAACUUACCUGUGUAACCAGACCAGCCCCACGGAAUCCAAGUGGAAGACACUCACAGAUCCCCAGAUCAACCCAAAGGGACUGAAUUCAAACGGCCUUGUAGAACACCCCGACUCACGGCGAAGAACGAUCUUCCCAAGUGUUUGCCUUUCUCCCACGCCCCCUCCCAUGUUCCUGUAACCUGACACUUCCCCACUUUAACGCUGGAACCCUCUCCUGCUGCCACCCCUGCACUUGCAGUGGCGUCAAGACCAGUGGUUUCAACCAGUUGUCUUGACGUCCUGCCCACCCCCAUGAAGGACCUCUGGCCUCCCCACACAGUUCUCCCCUCUGUGCCCACUGCGAGAGGAUGCAGCUGUCAAAAUAAAAAUGGCCCGUCGGCUUGCUUUCA